AUAAUAAUAGCAGUUAUCUUAUUAUUCUUCAAAACGGACCAGGCAGGCUGCAAGGACCUGGCGGCAGCUCUCAGCGCAGAGCUGGUCAGCUGACUACAGGUGGACACCGCCGCCCGAUGGAUGCGAGCCUCCCAUACAGCGGGGAGGCAGAGGGAGCUGGAAGGUGAGAGUGAAGGCAACUUAGACCUCAGCGCAAGGAGAGGCUGUGUCUGGAGCACCUCUGAUAAACGAUGGAAAGCAAACAAUCCAUGUGGAUAAACAGACGUCUUGCCUUAGCCUCAUGGACUGCCAUUUCUUGUGUACCUGUCGUGGCUGGCCAGCAGUAGAAGAAAACUUUAUUUUGCCUGAUGGUUUCAGACGUUGCUUCCAUAGCUGCUUGACCUCGGCAGCUGCCGGCCUGUGGUGAGGCGUCAUCUCCCGAGUCCUCCAGAGAACACCCGAGUCACCGUAGUGCUUCGUCAGGAUGUCCCUCUAGCAAAAAGAAAUUCUGGCGGGAGCGGGUUUAACAAUUUUAAUCUAAACGCAGCCGAUACCACACAGUAUUCCGUGCAUAGGUGCCCUUGACUCUCUUCCUCAGAUCCGGGGGGAAGUUGUGAAAUACAGCAAGGAAAUUGUCUUGGGGUUCCCGUUGGAUGUUAAAGCGUUG
rnacentral:lncRNA from 1 species